UCUUCCCUCUUUCUUCGUGCCUAAUACAUGCAAGUCGAACGAAACUUCUUUAUCACCGAGUGCUUGCACUCACCGAUACAGAGUUGAGUGGCGAACGGGUGAGUAACACGUGGGCAACCUGCCCAAAAGAGGGGGAUAACACUUGGAAACAGGUGCUAAUCCCGCAUAACCAUAGUUACCGCAUGGUAACUAUGUCAAAGGUGGCUAUACUACCGCUUUUGGAUGGGCCCGCGGCGCAUUAGCUAGUUGGUAGGGUAAAGGCUUACCAAGGCAAUGAUGCGUAGCCGAAUUGAGAGGUUGAUCGGCCACAUUGGGACUGAGACACGGCCCAAACUCCUACGGGAGGCAGCAGUAGGGAAUCUUCCACAAUGGGCGAAAGCCUGAUGGAGCAACGCCGCGUGGGUGAAGAAGGUCUUCGGAUCGUAAAACCCUGUUGCUAGAGAAGAAAGUGCGUGAGAGUAACUGUUCACGUUUCGACGGUAUCUAACCAGAAAGCCACGGCUAACUACGUG
rnacentral:rRNA from 1 species